rnacentral:rRNA from 1 species
GAGGGAAACGUUACUGAUAAUACUGGAUAAGUUAGUAUAUCGCAUGAUAUGCAAAUGAAAGCUACGGCACUAAAGGAGAGCUUUGCGUCCUAUUAGCUAGUUGGUAAGGUAAGAGCUUACCAAGGCGAUGAUAGGUAGCCGGCCUGAGAGGGUGGACGGCCACAAGGGGACUGAGAUACGGCCCUUACUCCUACGGGAGGCAGCAGCC